rnacentral:tRNA from 1 species
GCCCAGGUGGCGGAAUUGGUAGACGCGCACGUUUCAGGUGCGUGUGCCGCAAGGUGUGAAGGUUCGAGUCCUUUCCUGGGCACCA